GUGCGUUGUUUACGAAAAACAAAAAACAGAACGCCACCAGCUACAAACACACGAAGAAAAACAAAAUAAAAAAACGAAACGAAAAUUCCAAAAAGACACUUACGAAAGCCCCACAGCAUUUUUUAUUGUUCCGUAGAUUACAACAUAUAGGAAAACGCUAGAAGCGCUGAAGAAUUUUCGGGGGCGAGAAGAAGAGUGCGCUACACGCCGAUAUAUCGGUAUACUGAUGCGACAAAAUGCAAAAGUAGCACAGAUUCAAAUGCAGAUAGGGAUACUCUUCUCGCCGGCUUGGAAGAAGAAGGCGGCUGGAAGGGGAGCGACUGGAAGGGGCGGACAGUGUCGGUUUGUUUGUGGAAUGCCGUUUUGUAAGUUUCUUAUGCAUGCGCCUUCAAACAUAGUUCGGCAUCGAAACUUUCUAGCACACCGACACACAUACGAACGCGAUCCAGCCGACACACACACACGCACGCAGCCACACACUUAAGCGACUUUCGAAAGGUACAACUUUUAACGAAGUCGCUGCCUCAGCCGCUGCUCAGCCGACGCCACUGCCGCUGCCGCUGCCGCCGCCGCUGCCUCUGUCGACUUCGAAUUCCAACGCCAAGAUGAAAGAUCGGCGCAAAAGAAAAGAAAUAUUCAUUCAGUAAAAUUUCAUAGCUGCAGCCGCAUGGUUGUGCCGCUCUCGCCUGCUCUUGCUUUUCGCGCAACAAACCGAAACGAGAAACACAUAAAUAUCAAAGUGUGAACACUAGCGUACAUAUAAAGACUUUAAAACUAAACUUAACUUAACUUGAGCAACAUGAGUAACGAAUGAACACGGGAAAGCGGUUCCAGCGAAGAGGUUACAAGGAGAGCAGACACAACCGCAUUCCAGAAAGUUUAAAUAACGCUGGAAGAAGGGGGAAAGUGGAAAACUAAACUCGAACUCGAAUUCAGUGUGCCAGUGUAUGUGUGUGGAAUGCAGAAGAGGAAGAAGCAGCAGCAGCAGAAUAAGCAGCGAAUAGAAAAUAUGUCUUCAAACUGGUUUUUCGGUUUUUAGACUGUCGUCGUCGGCCAAUCGGGUUCCAUUGACAUCCGAACGAAAAAAUAAUGCCUAACCUUCGAUGGGAACACUCCGUGAGUCAUGCGACUGAGCGUGGGUUUUUGAGACCCGUUUCAUUCUUCCCGACUCGACGAUCCUAACCUUCACUGGGAACAGGAGUUAGCCGCCAGAACGUGAAUGGGAACAGAAUCGGGAACGUGAACAGUCAUAAAAGUUGCAUCACUCAGCACAAAAAGACGAAGAGGCGGGCAGACGGAGACACAAACAAGUCAACCACCAGCAUAGAAUGCGGCUGCCAGACAGGCGAGACGGCAAUAGUAGUGGCGGCAAGAAAAGGCGCGACAAGCAGAAGAACCGUUUUACUGAGAAAAGAAGAGCGUGCACGCGGCGUCAGGGUGCGAGCGGGAUAGCAAAACAGGCAAAGGGAAAAGGGACAGAAAAACACUGAGAGAAAUGAGAGUAAGGUGAACAUGAAAAUUAAGAUCUUAACUGAACUCGUAUAUUCUUUGCAGCAAUACUUUGGUUAAACGACAGUCAAUGAAAAUUUUUUUAACAUCGUAAGAAAUUGCACCAUAUAUGUUUACAAGGUUGAGAGUCG